GUGCUGGCUUCAGCAACACAUAUACUAAAAUUAGGAUGAUAUAAAAUAUUAGUUUGGCUCCUAAGCAAAGAUGACACUCAAAUUUAUGGAAAUUCCAACUAUUGU
rnacentral:snRNA from 1 species